rnacentral:rRNA from 1 species
CCUACGGGUGGCAGCAGUGAGGAAUAUUGGUCAAUGGUCGUGAGACUGAACCAGCCAAGCAGCGUGCAGGAAGACGGCCCUAUGGGUUGUAAACCUCUUUUAUCCGAGGACAAAACCCGGCACGUGUCCCGGACUGCAGGUAUCGGAAGAAAAAGCAUCGGCUAAUUCCGUGCCAGCAGCCGCGGUAAUACGGAGGUUCCGGGCGUUAUCCGGAUUUAUUGGGUUUAAAGGGUGCGUAGGCGGCCCGUUAAGUGUGCGGUAAAAUUGCGGGGCUAAACCAUGGCGAGCCGCUGAAACUGGCUGACUUGAGUGCGCGAGACGUACGCGGAAUGCGUGGUGUAGCGGUGAAAUGCAUAGAUAUCGCGAAGAACUCCGAUUGCGAAGGCAGCGUACGGCAGCCAUACUGACGCUGAGGCACGAAGGCGCGGGGAUCGAACAGGAUUAGAUACCCGUGUAGUC